rnacentral:lncRNA from 1 species
CUCAUUUUUUAGAAAAUAUCAAGACCUCUAAUGUCCAUGCUCCAUUAGCCUGAAGAAGACGUUCUAGCUUGGAAAUGAUCCUUGUUGGAGAGGAAGAAAGCCAAGUCAGCAAGAACUGGAAGACCUGGCCUCCAGAUUCAACUCCUCCUGCUCUCCUUCCUUUGAUUCUGAUUCUGGAAGCCUAUGGUGGACCCCAGCAUGCCUGCAUUUCCAGCAUGCUCAGAGCUGAUGGUAGUGAUGCCGAUCGAGGGGACCACACCGUGAGUAUCAAGGCCAUAGCACACCGACGUCAGGGUGACGACCAUGGCAUUGAAGCUGGUGGAAACGGAGCUUCCUGGUUACAACUGAGAACAGCAUUUACAGAGCAACUCAAUAUGGGGAAUUACCUUUUUC